rnacentral:rRNA from 1 species
CCUACGGGCGGCAGCAGUGGGGAAUAUUGCACAAUGGGGGAAACUCUGACGGAGCGACGCCGCGUGAGUGAAGAAGUAUUUCGGUAUGUAAAGCUCUGUCAGCAGGGAAGAAAAUGACGGUGCCUGACUAAGACGCCCCGGCUCACUACGUUACAGCAGCCGCGGGUAUACGUAGGGGGCAAGCGUUAUCCGGAUUUGCUGGGGGUAAAGGGAGCGGAGUAGGUGAAGAAAUUUAGAAGUGAAAGCCCGGGGCUCAACUCAGGGGAUGCUUUUGAAAGUGUGUGACUGGAGUGCAGGAGAGGUAAGCGGAAUUCCAGGUGUAGCGGUGAAAUGCGUAGAUAUAAGGAGGAACACCAGUGGCGAAGGCGGCUUACUGGACUGUAACUGACGUUGAGGCUCGAAAGCGUGGGGAGCAAACAGGAUUAGAUACCCCUGUAGUC